GUGAGGAAUAUUGGUCAAUGGGCGGGAGCCUGAACCAGCCAAGUCGCGUGAAGGAAGAAGGAUCUAUGGUUCGUAAACUUCUUUUGUAGGGGAAUAAAGUGCAGGACGUGUCCUGUUUUGUAUGUACCCUGAGAAUAAGGAUCGGCUAACUCCGUGCCAGCAGCCGCGGUAAUACGGAGGAUCCGAGCGUUAUCCGGAUUUAUUGGGUUUAAAGGGUGCGUAGGUGGUUUGAUAAGUCAGCGGUGAAAGUUUGCAGCUUAACUGUAAAAAUGCCGUUGAAACUGUCGGACUUGAGUGUAAAUGAGGUAGGCGGAAUGCGUGGUGUAGCGGUGAAAUGCAUAGAUAUCACGCAGAACUCCGAUUGCGAAGGCAGCUUACUAAGCUACAACUGACACUGAAGCACGAAAGCGUGGGGAUCAAACAGGAUUAGAUACCCCAGUAGUCC
rnacentral:rRNA from 1 species